UCCGAGUUGACCCCGGCAGUCUCCCAUGAGUCCCCGGCAUUAUCCGCUGGCAACAUGGAACGAGGGUUGCGCUCGUUGCGGGACUUAACCCAACAUCUCACGACACGAGCUGACGACAACCAUGCACCACCUGUGCACGGCCCUUACGGACCCCCCAUCUCCGGGGGAUUUCCGUGCAUGUCAAGCCUAGGUAAGGUGGGGAUGACGUU
rnacentral:misc_RNA from 1 species